AACCUGGUUGAUCCUGCCAGUAGUCAUAUGCUUGUCUCAAAGACUAAGCCAUGCAUGUCUAAGUAUAAGUAUUAUACAGCGAAACUGCGAAUGGCUCAUUAAAACAGUUAUAAUUUAUUUGAUAAUCGAAUUUACAUGGAUAACCGUGGUAAUUCUAGAGCUAAUACAUGCUGGUAGGCCCGACUUUUUGGAAGGGCGGUAUUUAUUAGAUAACAAACCAAUAUUCCUCUGGUCUAUUGUGGUGAAUCAUAAUAACUGAUCGAAUCGCAAGGUUUUUAACCGCGAUAAGUCAUUCAAGUUUCUGCCCCAUCAGCUUUCGAUGGUAGUGUAUUGGACUACCAUGGCUUUUACGGGUAACGGAGGAUUAGGGUUCGAUUCCGGAGAGGGAGCCUGAGAAACGGCUACCACGUCUAAGGAAGGCAGCAGGCGCGUAAAUUACCCAAUCCUGACUCAGGGAGGUAGUGACAAGAAAUAACGGACCGAGGCCUUCGGGCUUCGGGAUUGCAAUGAGCCGAAUUUACACCCCUUAGCGAAGAUCGAUUGGAGGGCAAGUCUGGUGCCAGCAGCCGCGGUAAUCCAGCU
rnacentral:rRNA from 1 species